rnacentral:lncRNA from 1 species
AGGCCACCUCGCACUGAGACUCAUAUACUUCCCUCUUUAGGGCCUCAAUUUGGGUCAGGGCGGACUCGAGCUUCGCCGCUUCUUCAGCCCUCUGUGCUUUGAUUUCCUCGGCCUCGGCCUUAGCAGCUUUGACCUCCUCAACGAGCGAAGCAGCUUUCCCCUCCGAGGCGUGAGUCCUUGUUUGGAAUUCACUUAAUGCCUCCCUGCAUUCUAACGCGAGGCCAAAGGUCCGGGCGCUUUGGCUCACCAGUGCCCUCGUGAGGUCGGUGGCAUCACAAGACGAGGCAUGUAGCUGCCACCUCUCCGUCCAGAACUUGUAAAAGCUCUCGGUGGCACCUCGGAUUUCCUCAGGGAGAGCCUCCACCAAAGCUGGGGCCAGCUUAUCCUCCCUCCCAGCUAGGAAGUUUGGAGACUUCCCCUUCUCCCGAACUGGCUUCUCCUUCGUCGCCUCCUCUUCGGCUGCUUCAGCAGCUCGCCUGGCAGCCUCUUCCCUGGCCUCUUCAGCCUCCACCUCCCUUACCAUCUCCAUUUUGAUG